rnacentral:rRNA from 1 species
GACGAACGCUGGCGGCGUGCUUAACACAUGCAAGUCGAACGGAAAGGCCCUGCUUUUGUGGGGUGCUCGAGUGGCGAACGGGUGAGUAACACGUGAGUAACCUGCCCUUGACUUUGGGAUAACUUCAGGAAACUGGGGCUAAUACCGGAUAGGAGCUCCUGCUGCAUGGUGGGGGUUGGAAAGUUUCGGCGGUUGGGGAUGGACUCGCGGCUUAUGAGCUUGUUGGUGGGGUAGUGGCUUACCAAGGCUUUGACGGGUAGCCGGCCUGAGAGGGUGACCGGGCACAUUGGGACUGAGAUACGGCCCAGACUCCUACGGGAGGCAGCAGUGGGGAAUAUUGCACAAUGGGCGGAAGCCUGAUGCAGCAACGCCGCGUGCGGGAUGACGGCCUUCGGGUUGUAAACCGCUUUCGCCUGUGACGAAGCGUGAGUGACGGUAAUGGGUAAAGAAGCACCGGCUAACUACGUG